GUACAGAAGAAUGGCUGCCAUCUUUAGUUUUCGAUGGAUGUUUUCCGAAGAGUUCGUGAAUUCUUAUAUUUAUUGCGGUAUUUAAUAACGUAAUUAAAUCUAAAAUAGUGAGAUAACGUUCAGCGCGAUGUAACGAGUGUUCAAUGCUCAUCAAUUUAAGCUGCCCUAGUGUCAAUUCCGUUAAAAAAUGCCUGUGUUUACAUCCAAGUUUGAAGUGAGCUUCUGUAUUCCUGUCAUAUUAAGUUUCAUAACCGAAAUCCUCAAAUAGCUCAACGAAGGAGAGAAAAAACGGAUAUUAAAACUGUAGUGUCAGAAGUUAUUGUUGAAACAAAUUUCGUCAAAUUUCAAUUUGGCGAAACAUCAAAGCCUCCAAGACGUCGACCCCAUCAGUGAUCAAGUUAACCGGGGGUGGAACAGGUGGGGGUGGGGAACAGGUGUCCCCUGGCCCUGGGCUACCUCCCCCUGUCACCCCUGCAGAGCUAAAUGAUCCAAUAGAUAGUAAAAAAACCGGAUCGGAGGCGGUUAACACGUUUGUACCAAAUGUAACGGACGCUACCAUGAGUUUUGUUCUUCAAUUAGGUAGCGUUGAAAAAACAUCUGAAGAAGUUAGCAACAACAACACUUCCGUACUACCUCAAGAAUUGGCUGGAUCGAUACCGACUAUCAGUGGGGUAAUUGGUAAACCUUUGAUUGCAACUGGUAACUGCAACAACAAAACCCAGAACUUGCAACAAAAUUUAAAAACUGUCAACAUCACGACUGUAACAGCUGGCUCUGCUUUAUCGCCUACUGUAAAACCUGUAACUGUUACUUACCCGGUAAACAGGACUGUCAGAGAUGCCCAAAGAAUCGGGGGUACGCAGACCAACACUACACAAGUCUUGACUACUAGGGUUAUUUCACAGAAAUUACCACAAUCCACUUACCAAAUACAUCCGACUUCUUUACCGUUGAAUUCUGCUGCACACGCCGUUCAUUUACCAAUAAAAUCAUUGCACUCACCUGGCACCAAUGUACCUAAGAUCCAAUCUUUGCCGUCUCCGACGGUUCCGCAAAAUGCGAAUGUACAAACUAAAAUCUUGGCCACGCUGCCGAAUGCGGUUCAAACUAAACAGCUGCAGCCGGCCACGAUAACAAAUUUCCAGACGACCAUGCAUCAGAAAUUACAAGUUUCUACGCAACAAAUUCUCAGCACAACUGGUGUGAAAACCAUCACUACAACAUCCGUGCCAAAUGUGCAAAGGAUACAAGUGAAGUCCCAAGGUAUCGGUGGUAAAUCGCAAACCGUUAAUUUGCAGAAGGUCAAAACAAUUACCAAUGUAAACAAUCAAACCGGGCAGCGAGGAGGCAAUUUACCAAGAAUACAAACUGUACCCAAGUCUCAAGUAAUCACUCCGACAACUCAAACCAUGCAAGUUUCAAUGAGCCAAGUAAUGAAUAGCGCAAAUAUGCAGAGAAUACAGCAGGUUAAUUCUUCCAAUGCACAACAACAACAACAACAACAACAUGUGCAAAAAGUUAAUCAACCAUUGAACAUUGGCAAUGUGCAAAAGGUGACGCAAGUAUUUAACAAUCAGAAAGUUCAAACUCAAGUAAUAACCAAUACGGCCGGUCAUGGUAUUCAAAAAGUACAACAUUCUGGACUGCAACAAGUACAACAAAUGCCACAAAAAAGGGCUCAGAGAGCCACUCAUAAGGGACUUGGUGUACAGAGGCAGCAACAACCUGCUACAUUGAAUAAUUUUUCAAAAACUGUCAACUCUGUAGCUGGUAUACAAAAGAUACAAACAAAUGCCCAACAGCAGCAAAAAAAUCUGCAAACAACACAACAGCAGAGGCCACAGAGCAUGGAGGUUCUUCAAAAAUCUCAAACACUUGCAACGGUAAAUUCGAACAAAACGCAAUCUGUGCCUAACAUCACAAAAAGUAACAGCGUUCCAAAUAUUUCUAAGCUGCAGCAUAAUCAAAAUUUACGUAAUGUCGCCAAGCAGCAAAUUGCUAGCCAACAACAACAACAACAACAACAACAACAACAACAACAACAACAACAACAACAACAACUAAAAGUUCACACUCCACAAAUAUCUCAGCUUCAGCAACAACUGAUGCAUCAAACCUCGCAACCUCAACAACAGCAGCAGCAACAGAAUAUUGUGCAAAAGCAACAGCAACAAAUGAACGUUGUUUCUCAAACACAGAAAUGUCAACCUAAUACUGGAGUACAACAAAAAGUGGCCACUAUUACGUCUGUUCCAAACAAUCAGAGGGUACAGGCAACUGCCAAUUCAAAAGCUCAGCAGCAACAGCAACAACAACAACAACAACAACCACAACAACCUCAACCUCAAAUGGUGCUAAGGGUUGGUCCGCAGAAAAAUCAAUCUCAGAAUAUGCAGCCUGGAAAUUUAAAGCCUGUUUCGCAGAAAAUGAUCAACAGCGUGAAACCUUUGAACCAGCAAAAUGUUGUACAGCAAUCAAAUCGUACAGUAAACUCCCAGCCAGUAAAAAUAAUUCAACAGCAACAACAAAAUAUCAUUGGCCCUCAGAAUACCCAGAAACAGCCGGGAUGUAUUAAGACUAUACCACCUCAAAAGCCGACGCAGAGAAAUCAUGUGCAAAAGAUGUCUGGCAUCAAGACAUCUCUGAAUACUAAUUUAAGCUCUUUAAAAGGGCAGGGAACACCGUCAUCGAUUGCACAGCAGAAAACUUGCAUUAAAACCUUACUUCCCCAACAACCUGGUGGGCCUAAUGUGUUACCCCAUAAAAAUCAACCUGUCAAGAUUCAACAGCAAACAAUACAACAAAAACAACUUGUCAUUACUGCUCAAUAUCCACAGCAGACCAGAGCUCAAACUGGUCAAAUCAAAACACUCCUACCAGUCGCAAGCGCGGACACUCGCAGGGAAAGUGAGAACAAAAAUGAGACUGAAGCUUACUCAGCGAAAGAUGACAGCACACAGCCAGAUCCUCAAUCUCCGGUACGAAGAAUGCCACUUCCGUACGAGUGUCUCCAGUUUGUCCUACAAGACCAUAACUACGGUGCGCCUCCACCGAGGACACCUCCCCCAGCAUCACCUCCGCCACAUCCUAAACAACAGCCCAUCAAUGGUGGAACAAGUUCUGCUGCAGUGUCCCAGCAUCCUUUCAUUUAUGGACAAGCAGUGAGCAGUAAGAAUGUUGAAGACGAUGCAGGUAGUGCGAUAAGCAGUGAGGCUGGAAGAGAGGCAGAACCGGAAGGUGAAGAAACCGAGACAGCACCAGAAGGAGAGGGAGAUGACGAAGAUAGCGUGACAAGAUGCAUUUGCGAAUUCGAACAUGAUGAUGGAUACAUGAUCUGCUGUGAUCGUUGCUUAGUUUGGCAACACGUGGAUUGCAUGGGUAUAGAUAGAUCUAAUAUACCUGACGAAUAUCUAUGCGAAAUGUGUCGGCCACGCCGUGUCGAUAGACAAAGAGCACGCGCGUUGCAACUUCGAAAGCGCGAGGAGCUUCUGAAUUCAGACACAUCUUCCGAUUCGUCGUCUACAAGCUCAGCCGAUACUGACGUUGGCGUAAAUCCAGUACAGAAGAAGCGAGCUCCUCAGCAGCAACAGCAGCAACAACAACACCAGCAAGCCCAGCAGCAGCAACAGCAACAACAGCAACAAGUCCAGCAGCAACAGCAACCACUACCGCAACUACAACCUCAGCAGCACCAACAGCAGCAACAACAACAACACCAACAACACCAACAACAGCAGCAGCAACAACAACAACAACAACAACAACAACAACAACAACAACAACCACAACCACAGCAACCAGCUCUGAGGAGAAAAUCUGAUCCUCCACCGCAAGUUAGACGAUUAAGCACUAACAACAAUAACAAUAAUGUUGCAAAGAGACAAAGAAGGGAUCCUCAUCCAAGACAGACUAGCGCAGUGCGUAAAAAGGAAACUGUCAAACGAGGCCUGGGCAAAAGAAAGACUAAGAGAAGAAUGAGCCUGGAGGAUAGAGAGGAGGAUACACAAGAUGCAUGGGGAACUAACAUGGCUCCUUUAAGACAAUGGAUAGAGCGAUAUGAAGAGGCUGUAACCAAUCAUUAUAGUCCUGAACUUCGGGCUAGGAUAUCCAGCAUCAAAGUUAAUGGCGCUCAUGGUGACUUGAGACAAAGCAAUAUGAAUGCUGCUGCGACUGGGAAAUGUAGGCUUAAUGUGCACAGUAAUAACCUGAGAUUCCUGGUCGCCACUAUGUAUUUGCCACCGAACACUCCAGUCGUUGAACUUCGUGGGAAAUACAUGCUGAGUACUCAGCACAGGCCUUCGCAUCCGCAAGGUCGACAACACGCACAAAGACCAGGACCUUUUGUGUUUUUUUACCGACUACCACGCGACGGGACAGAAGUUUGUGUUGAUACAAGAACUUAUGGUAACGACGCGAGGUUCGUUCGUCGAAGUUGUAAACCGAACGCUGAGGUGAAACAUUGCAUAGAGAAAGGAACAUUGCAUUUGUACAUUGUCACAACGACAAAUAUCGAAAAAAAUGCUGAAAUCACUAUCAAGCAUGAGCAGCACGAUAUCAUGCUCUCUCCGAAUCCAAAUUCACCUGUUGCACCACUUAUUUGUGCUUGCAACAAUACGCGAGAGUGUCAAGUCGCCACUAUGGGACAACCAGGUAGACGAGGAAGCAACGGAGCCCUUGCAGAAAAUGCCGACGGUAGGGAAAGAAGACGGCGAGGCAGAAGAAACACAGUGUGCGAAGAUAGUGACUCCUUGUCUGCAGUUUCUACUAUAAGUGUUACUCAGACGACUCCAACACCUGUGCCAGCACCAACGGCAGCUCCUCCUCGAAGAACUAUCACAAAUGCAAAUGUAAGUGCAACAGUGACACGUCAGGUAGCUAAAGAAGAACCAUCAACUACAGUGCAGCAGCCUCUUACUUCGCCUUCGAUUACACCAUCGCAAGCUCCGGAGUCAAAUAAAAAGGACAAAAAGAAAAUGACGAGGGAAGAGCGUAAGAUGGAAGCGAUCAUGAAGGCUUUUGAAAGAUUGGAAAAAGCAGAACAAAGGAAACAGGAAGUUCAGGCAAGAAAUGCACAGAGAAAAGAAUCUGGUGGUACGCAUAGUGACAACGAGGAAAGUCAAGUUACUUCUGCCCCUCCUUUGAAACAAAAAUCCCAAAACACGGAAAGGCCUGUUCGACGAAAGAGGAGAAAGGGUCGCGCGCGAACAACCAGCAGCUCUCAUUCACAGCAAAGCAGAUGCAGGACAAGAUUAAAUUCGGCGGACUCUGAUAUAUCGUCGGGAGAAGAGAGUAAUUCUUUGCAGUCACCACCCCUUCCGAAUCAGAGUUACCCACCGAUACGGGGAAUGCCUUCUUACACUUCACAUCUUCAUACUCCAACGAAAGAUGUGACCGAUAGCGGUAGCGUUGGAGCUACUGGCCAUCAUGGAAUUCCAACAGCUGCUGGCUUGCUACUUGCUUUAGCAAAUUCUAAUAUACCAGGGCCGAGUUCUCCACCUCUGCAGCAGCCAACUCCAAUCAAGAGUCCUACGUGCGAUAGCGGUGCCAGUAGCAGCUCCCAAAGCUCAACUCCAUCUACUCCUCUAUCUUCCGCUUGUUUACUGGUCGCAGCAGCUGUCGGGCCAUUAGCGCCAGGUUUCAAGUUUCCAAAAACUAAGAAGGUCCUUAUGAAUGAGUGGCUGAAAGAAUCUCCAGAUCCACCUCAAACCCAUAUUCCUCAAAUAUCCCCAAUACCUGCUGUGCCUCCAGCACCAUUGAAUAAUCCUGUCAAUCAAUUGAACAAACCGACCGACUUCUUGUCACCAACCGAUCCAUCGCCUGAAUUUCUUACUCAAAGUUAUGCAGCUAAAAGUUUGGCCACUUUGGUCCAGGCCGCGAAUUCUGUUUCCGGAAUUUGCGACUCUCCUCCUCAGCGGAGACAAACUAUAACUGGAAAUUCGUCGUGCUCAGGAUCUACUGGCUCUGCAAAAAAAAGGUGGCUAAGACAAGCUAUUUCUGAAGAAUGCGAUUCUCCUAACAGCAGGCCAGAGAGUCCACCCAACGAAAUAGUUGCAGCUCCACCCAAAAAAAGAAGGAUCGCCAGGGAAAGUUUGUCAUCUGACAAUUAUACGCCGCCUACUACACCAACUCUGCUGACAUCUGAACAACCCACACUUUCUCAGCCAACGUGUCAUAACGAGGAUGAAUUCGUGGAUAUGCCUCAAUCCCCCAUUAAUGAGAGAUCUACACCGAAUUUAGAAUAUGGACAAGACAAUGUGAAGGAUGAAGUUGAUUCAGAGUCUGAAACAGCAGAUGUGCACGAGCUGAAAGAAAAAAUCGAGUUCACAAAUUCAAAAUUUGACAACCCUGAGUCAGCACUUUGCAUAAAAGAUGAGAAAGAUGACGAACCAAUGCCAAUGGUUAAAAGCGGAUCGGUCCUUCCAGAAAAAGCGCUAAGUAACGAGUUUGUAAAAGACGAAAAACCUCUGAAGAAUUCACAGUCCCCUUGUAAGUCUGAACCAGCUGUUAUCAAAAGUGAAAUUUCUGAUGCUCAACUAAUGUCUGUCAAUAAAACUGAACCAAAUCAGGUAAAAGAUGAGCCAACAGAACAUCAAGGAGAGUCUCAACACAUCAAAAAAGAACCAAUUACGUUAAAGAAGGAAACGCAAGUGGUGCUAAUUGAAAAAGGCACAGUGGAAAUUGUCGAUCAGAAUGAACCAGACACAGAAAUGGAAGACCUAAGUUCACCGAUUGCUGCAAUGGAAUCGGACGCAGUACUGAAACAACGGGCAGCUGAAAUGCGGCUUGAAUUUAGUGGCAGUAUUGCAGAAAUAGUAAAUAUUGCCAGUGAGAAUGAAAAAUCCGACGAUGACAGGAAGUUUGAGAACAAUAGAUCCGAUGAAGUGAAAUCAGACGACAACAUGUCUAUUGAUGAGUUUGAUGUCGAGGCGCAAAUGAUGAAAAUUACUGGAGACGAUGGAAACGAUUACAAAGAGAAAGUCGACACAAGUUCAGAGAAAGACAAAAGCAUGGACGGCAUUGAGGGGCUAAUGGAAAGUUCGAAAGAGGAUUCCGAAUCCGAAGAUAGAGACAUGGAUGAUCUUAAGGAGGAGAGUAUUUCGUUUAAAGAAUUCCAUAUAAACUCUAAGAUGCGGGCAUUUAGAGAGUUUGAGAGAAAACCCGAGAAGAGAGACUUCAUUGACUUCGAAAAUAAGCAAACGACAAAUCGCGACAAUUUCGAACCUCCGAAGGUACACAACUUAGGUGAGUCGGUAACUUUGUCAGAGGAAUCUAUACUCGAGUCAACGUCGUCGAACAUUGAUGUGGAAUCAAUUGCAGAUGCUCCGCAAAUUCAAUUUCCCAUUCCACCACUUAGCGAAAGAAUACGUAAAAAACCUGAACAAACACAACCCGCCAAGUUGCAGCUUGAUUUUGAAGCAUCGAUCAUUGAAUCCACUAUUGAGAUUGAAGUAGGUAAUGCUUCGACAGAAGAUGGACAAAAAUCAAUGCUCUCUUCGGCCCUCAGAGAAUUAUUAGAGGCAAAAAUUGAUGUUGAUCCAGAACCAGUGAAAAUGGAGAUAUCCAACGAAGAAAUGAACGUUAUUUCUAAUGAUGAUCAGAUGGACCGAAUUUCAUGUACCAAUCCUGUUAAAAAUGUCGAUGAUGUCAUAAAACCUGAUAAAGAUCCUGUACGUGUCGAAAACGUUUCUGAGAGGGUGGAGGAAAAUGUUUCAAACGAACCUAAACGUUUAAAAGAUCCUAGAACUAUUACGCCUACGGAUAUGCCAGCACCAUCUGCCUCGAAGCCGGAGAUUCCUGCUCCAGUCAAGCGCAAGGUGGAGAAGAAGGAGUAAUGGGCUGGUCCGCUGCCCCAACUUUGGUUGAACGCCAGCGAGAGAAUCUUACCGAGAGACUAAAACGCGAGUUUGGACUGUUUCUCAGUGAUGAUGAGGAAGAAAGAGCCCGCAAACAAGGUUUGACUGCAGAGGCAAUUCUGAAGGCCCGAAAAUUAUCCCCUUCUGCUCAUGCUCCGAUUCCUAUUGCAGCAACUGUGUAUCCAUCUCCGCAAUUACCUCCUCAACCUUAUAUACCACCUCCUGGCUCAGCUCCGAUCC
rnacentral:misc_RNA from 1 species